rnacentral:rRNA from 1 species
AGUGAACGCUGGCGGUAGGCCUAACGCAUGCAAGUCGAACGGCAGCACAGUAAGAGCAUGCUCUUACGGGUGGCGAGUGGCGGACGGGUGAGGAAUACAUCGGAAUCUACUUUUUCGUGGGGGAUAACGUAGGGAAACUUACGCUAAUACCGCAUACGACCUACGGGUGAAAGCAGGGGAUCUUCGGACCUUGCGCGAUUGAAUGAGCCGAUGUCGGAUUAGCUAGUUGGCGGGGUAAAGGCCCACCAAGGCGACGAUCCGUAGCUGGUCUGAGAGGAUGAUCAGCCACACUGGAACUGAGACGCGGUCCAGACUCCUACGGGAGGCAGCAGUGGGGAAUAUUGGACAAUGGGCGCAAGCCUGAUCCAGCCAUACCGCGUGGGUGAAGAAGGCCUUCGGGUUGUAAAGCCCUUUUGUUGGGAAAGAAAAGCAGCAGGUUAAUACCCCGCUGUUCUGACGGUACCCAAAGAAUAAGCACCGGCUAACUUCGUG